rnacentral:rRNA from 1 species
GAUGAACGCUAGCGGCAGGCUUAAUACAUGCAAGUCGAGGGACAGCACAGGUAGCAAUACUGGGUGGUAACCGGCAAACGGGUGCGGAACACGUACACAACCUUCCUUUAAGUGGGGGAUAGCCCAGAGAAAUUUGGAUUAAUACCCCGUAAUAUAGUUGAAUGGCAUCAUUUGAUUAUUAUAGCUACGGCGCUUAAUGAUGGGUGUGCGGCUGAUUAGCGAGUUGGCGGGGUGACGGCCCACCAAGUCUACGAUCAGUAGCUGAUGUGAGAGCAUGAUCAGCCACACGGGCACUGAGACACGGGCCCGACUCCUACGGGAGGCAGCAGUAAGGAAUAUUUGUCAAUGGACGCAAGUCUGAACCAGCCAUGCCGCGUGAAGGAUUAAGGUCCUCUGGAUUGUAAACUUCUUUUAUUUGGGACGAAAAAGGGCCUUUCUAGGUCAACUGACGGUACCAGAUGAAUAUGCACCGGCUAACUCCGUGCCAGCCGCCGCCGUAAGAC